CAGGGAGGCCUGGAGUGCUGUAGUUCACAGGGUGGCAAAGAGUCGGACGUGAGUGAGUGACUGAACAACUGCUCUGAGCAGCUGACAUCCACUAAGAAGGAACUACAUGCCAAGCAUCGUGCUAGACUCUGCAAAUAUAUGUUCUCCUUUAAUGAGAAAAUGCCAGUGAGCCCAUCUUAAUUUGGAGCAGCCGUAUUUCAAGUGCUCGGCAGCCACAUAUGGUCCAUGACCACUGCACUGAGCACUGUACCCUCACCCGUGCACCAUCAUGCCUGAGUCUUUGAAGACGGUGUCAUCCGGGUUUACCAGACUGUAUUUAUUGAGGAAGAAGAUUUUCCUUUUUUCAACAAAGGAUUCCUGCAUUGGUGCUCACCCACCCAACCCCCAUGGUUUCUUCCUGGUCUGACAAGAUAUCAAGAUGUUCUGCCUCAAGAGAACCUGAGGACGGUCUCACAUCAAAUCUCCUUUAGUUUUGAGGGGGCUGGUCCAACCCCCAGUGGCUAACAGAUGAUGCCACCAUUUGGAUCGAGUUCCGUCUUCAAAUAGAAAGAUAUUUUCAAACAUCUUUGAAUUGAGCUUGCAGAAUGAGGGCGGCAUGGUGCUUACAUACCCACUAAUCUCUGUUAUGACAUGUCUGCAUGACGGAGAGGAUCAUACUCCUGGGUUGAGGAAAGGAGGGCUGUCCACGGAUGACACAAUCAAGAGGUGCACUGGACCACAGAGAAUGCGGAAUGGGCAGCAAGACUCAUCAUGCCAGCUGCCUUUUAAAAGAAAAUGCCAGUUAAGGGAAAAAAUCGCCUUUCCAAAGAAAUGAUAUAGCAAAAGGGGAAGUCAUGGAAUACUGUCUUUCUUCACAAGAAACUAUUUCUCUUAUCAGACUCUUUCCAGUUAAGGGUUAACACGGGAAGAACACCAGACCGAGGCCUUUGCAAAGAGCAGCGAAUCCAAAGGAUGCCGUCCAGACAAGGUCAGAAUUCACGGUGAGUUGCUGAGUGUGGAUGCUCUGGUUGCUGAUGGUGCUGCUGGAAUGAAGGCAGGAAAGUCAUGGCUUCCUAGCAAGCCAGAGAGUGAAAUAAGGACCCGUCUUUGACAGAUCCAUCAAAGUGAACCGGACUUGAAUCAGGCUUUCCUGGUGUGGCUUAUGGAACUUACCUGAGCUCAGUUGGUAAAGAAUCUGCCUGCAGUGCAGGAGACCUCAGUGUGGCUUAUUCCAGAGGUUUCCAUGUUUGGGGCAUAGUGAAAUGAAUCAAAACAUUUCAGGGAAAGACUCUUCCCACUAAGGUACACCUUUUAUGGAGCUGGCCAAGGCAAGAAGUGUGGCCACAUCUGGGGAACCAGGGAGAUAACUGAAAAAACAAAUAGGUUUCUCAUUAUUUAUAGGUAAAGUAUGGUGGUUAAGCCUCUGUUAUUUAGAGUCAGAUUACCAAGGCUCAAACUCUUGGGUUUGAACACUAGAACUGCUUGGGUUUAUAGAAAUUGUGACCUCUUUGAACCUUUCUUUUUCUCCAUAUUGUGCAGAUAAUAACAAGAUCUUUUCUCAUGAAAUAGUGAAGGUGAAACA